rnacentral:misc_RNA from 1 species
UCCGGCUUGACGCCGGCAGUCUCGCUAGAGUCCCCGGCAUUACCCGCUGGCAACUAGCGACAAGGGUUUCGCUCGUUAAGCGACUUAACGCGACACUUCACAGCACGAGCUGACGACAGCCAUGCAACACCUGUGGAAGUUUCACCCCGAAGGGCAAUUUUUCGAGUUAUCCCCGAAAAACAUCCAACCAUGUCAAACCCGGGUCAGGUUCUUCGCGUUGCUUCGAAUUAAGCCACAUGCUCCACCGCUUGUGUGAGCCCCCGUCAAUUCCUUUGAGUUUUAGCCUUGCGGCCGUACUCCCCAGGCGGCACACUUAUCAUUUUUACUCCGGCUCGGGUGCCGUAAGAGACUCCCAAGCCUAGUGUGCAUCGUUUACGGCGUAGACUAC